rnacentral:misc_RNA from 1 species
AUUUGGUCUUCAUAAUCACCGUUUCUUCAUAUGAUAAUACUAUAAGAGGAUUAUGUAAAUUUUUUAGUCAUGGCAGAACACUGAGUCACUAUAGGACACAAACUUGCAAAUCAGCGAGGACUUCGAAAGAUUUUGCCUCAUUGAGCAUUUCUUCAUGGUAGCAAAGAGAAGAUCCUAGAAUAGUUCUAAGCUUAACACAUCCAUGCAUGAACAUUCAUGGUCAUUUUAACUCCUACUACCUAACUUCUGUGGCCCCCAGUGAAAAACAAUUUUAAAUCAAAUUUAAUAGCAUUUCAUGUUAUCCCACAGCUGCGCUGGUCAAACAAACUUCACCAGCA